GGACCUUAACCUUUUCUCCCUCCACAAUCGUCAGAGACGCGCGUAAAUCCCAAUCGACCCCAUAACCACCCUUCUCUUCCUCUCUGCGAUGCGGUCAAAGCCAUGUUUCCGUAUCUGUUAUCACGGAUCGAACCUCGAUCUGGCUAUUAGGCAUGGAUCAUCGAAGGAUCUCUCCAUGGAUCGGUUUCGAUCGCGUUGAAUGGUUCUGGUUCGAGGCAUCUUAGAUCUGUUUUGGAUUUUCGACGAUUUAAAGAAUCUGAUCGUGUUUUCUUAGCAAGGGUUUUGGUUGCGCGGAGCUGAUGAUCGUUCAUUUUUCUUGUGGAUUGUGGCGGUGAAGGAUCUCUUCCGGUGGUUCUUGGCGGCAGAGGGUUUUCCGCGGCGGAAUUUGGCGGUAGAGGAUCUGGAUCUUUCUGGAAAUUAACAGUUUUAACACAUGGAUGCGCGAUCUUUGUUGUAUCAAUCAAUAAAAAGGUAUUAUAUGGAAUGUUAUGUGGAACUGAAUGGAGCUUAGGGUUUUGGGAGAAAGAUAUGUCUUAGGCGUAUUGAUGCAGCCUUAAAGGUAUAUGAUCUUGUUAGUUUGUUAUUUUUUCAUUCUUUUGUUACCAUCAGGCCUUUGCCAUGUCGGGUGCGCUUGCAUGGCAGGUCAAAAAAAAGAUAAUAAAAGAAGUUUUGUUUGUGUUUUAGGGGGAGAGUUUUUUUGGGGGUUUGUUACAUUUUUUAUGCCCCCAAGCUCUCUCCCUGUGUGCGUGUGUUGUGUCUCUUCUUUUCCUUUCUCUCUCUCUCUCUCUCUCUCUCUCCCCCCCCCCCCCCCUUCCUCUUCUAUGCCCCUUAUGAAUUCUAUCACACACGCCUUAAAUCCUCUCGCUAUGGAAGCAACUUGCAAUUAAAACUGGUUAAUCCAGUUGGAACCGGUACAAUACAUGUUCUCGUCUCCAAUAAGGUAACACGCUAUAAGGUACACUAUGCUAAACACUUAUUUAUUUCAUGUUUUAAAUUUUAAAUUCCUUAGAGAUUAUAUAUCUUAAAAGUUACUAUGCGUUCUAUUGUUCUUGUGAUAUCUCUCUCUGUAUAGCCUAAGUAAACAUGUUUCUUUAAAGCUUCCCUCUAUUUAAUUCAGUUUUAAUUUAGAUUUAGAUUCACAUUCUACAUAGGAUGGAAAAUUAAAAAUAUUCUUUAAUUUUCAGAUAUUAUCAAACUAUUUUUAAUAGCUAAACAUCUACUGUUAUUUUUAAAUGAUUUAACAAUGAAAUUAUUAUUUUUACAAAUGUUGGGUUAUACAUGUAUAAAAGUUUUAUUCUAUACCUCGCGUGGAUAGUGCAUUAUAAUGGAUCUCUUGCAAUUAUGUUAAUGUAAAAUAUGGUAUCGUAUUCCUAAAUCAACAUUCUAAUAAGAAUUAGUCUUGAAUCCAAAGGCCGUAGAAGCACUAAAUAAUUCUAAUUAUUUAGUAAUUACCAAUCUCCUUUGCAAGAUAGCAUCCUCAUUUGUAACAUCUAUCAUGACCACAAUUUAACUAUUGAUACGGAUUCCAUUGAUGCUGUACGCCCAGUAUUAUUUUUGAGCAAAUGCCAGUGUGUGUUCUAUUCCAUUGUUACAAUUUUAAAAGGAAUUUACCACAACAAAUAUGGAAUAUAUGUUACAUGAUUAACCUAAGUACAUAUUCGGAGUGCAUAUUAAAAGGGCUAAUGUCGUAUUAUAUAUUAUUUUUCACUAAAGCAGUUGCAGUAUAUAACCUUAUAUUUAAGCUUACUAAGUUCUUUCAAUUAUAAGAUAUGUUGAGAUAUCGAUGCGUUAUUUACUAGUUUUCCGUAUAUAUAAUGUUGAAUAUGGAUUAUGGGGAGUGUGCCAAUGUAUCAUAGUUAUUUUUCACUAGUUGGCCGUAUCAUAUAUUAGGGAUAUAUGGUUCUUUUGUAAAGUUGUUGUAUGCAGCUGAGUUAGUGGUUCUUAAUGUACAUUUAAGGACUGUAUUCCAUGUUAGAGGCAUAACCCGAUUGUUGACUAUCAAGCAAAGAUAGUACGGGUGGAGCACCUUUUUCUCCAGGUGGUAUUUGAGCGAGGAUUCCCGGAGAUGGACUGUGUCUUCCUGAAGCCAUUAUUUUAGGAUGCGUUUACCGGAAUAAACAAGCAAUAUGCUGCGGAUGUGCUAUGGAGGAAGGUUAUUUGAAGCCUUGCCAGAGGUGCCUUCCAAGAUUUGGAAGCUUUGCAAGGAUUCAUUUCAUGAACACCCAUUUCUAAGGUUAAUGUUCACUGGUUCUUGCUUGACAGCAAUUUCAAGCAAAUUUUGGAGUGAGUUGCCUCUCACCAUAGCUUGGCGACAUCUCUUGCAUCAACAUUUGGCGAUUCUGCUGUAAAUAUAAAACCUUGGAGGAUAUUGUUGCUUAACACUUAACAGUACCCGAUAUUCAGAUGAUGCGCACCAGCGAUAUUGAUUCCUUUUGCUUGCUGCUUGAUGUACUUACAUUCAGAUAGCACACUCCGACGUUAUUGAAUCAUAUAUAAACCCCAGUGUUAGCAUUAAAUCUCUUGCUCCUGCUAUAGUUUUGGGGUAUACGGUAUCAUCUCUGCUAAUUAUUUUCGUAAAGUUUAUUUCACUGUCAUUUGUUCGAAACUUAGUCUCAUAAUUUGUAAGUAUCCAUCUAAUAAGUUGGUUUCAGUAAGUCCUGUCGUGUCUGGUGUACAUUAUUCAACAAAGUGCCCCCAGUGUGCGAGGCUCUGCUUGUAGAUUGUAUUUCGUUUUUAGCUUUUGAUAACCAUUAAUUUUAUGAGGUAUUUUCAGAAGAGAAGGACUAUAGCGUCAUUUGGUCCGGCUUUUGUUCUAGUUAGACCUACCCAAAAAAAAAACCUACGUCGUUUUUACCAUUUUUAUGUUACUCUUUGUCACAAGGCCCAAGCUUUACAGUUGGAAAAUGGCUUUUAUGUAAAACUGGGUCUUUAAACCGCUAGAAAACUUUCUCAAGAUUAAUCUCUCUCAAUUUUUUCGGGUCUAGUGAGAUUGAUAUCUCUUUUAAUUGAGGUAAUUUUCAUAUAGUUGGAUGUGGUUGUGCACUGCUAAUGGAUCCAUGAGCUCAAGUUGGUAUGAGCGCCCAAACUGCUACGUCUGGGAGGAUGGUGGUUCGACUCCACCUGGAUCCGCUUUUUCUGACUUCGGUUCCACGAUGUCUCUCCAUUUCAAAUUAAAGGAAAUGCUAAUCCAAGCACGGAAGUUAGGAAAUGCUAAUUCAAACAAGAUAGUUCAGUCAAAAAAUAAAAUAGAGAAAGUAACAUUGACUGUAGGAGUUUUAUUUUAUUAAUUUAUCCUCAAUGCUCUAACUAUGGGUCGAGGUACUUCUGUAUUACAGGUGAAGCGUUUGCCGAUAGAAGCAAUUUGAUGAAAGAUGAAACAAUAACAUUGUCAUCAUCUUUGCCUUAAAGGUCCCCAGGGAAAAGAUAUGGUCUUAGACAAUUGUCAAGUCAAGGAGAUCGAUCAAACAGUGGAAUGUCGUCCAACAAGCCAAGCUAAGCUGAUGUUAUAUUACGGUAUGCAGAUUGAAAUGCAGGCCAAGCUGAUGUUAUAUUACGCAGAAAAAGAGAUGA